GAUGAACGCUGGCGGCGUGCCUAAUACAUGCAAGUCGAGCGAACAGACGAGGAGCUUGCUCCUCUGACGUUAGCGGCGGACGGGUGAGUAACACGUGGAUAACCUACCUAUAAGACUGGGAUAACUUCGGGAAACCGGAGCUAAUACCGGAUAAUAUAUUGAACCGCAUGGUUCAAUAGUGAAAGACGGUUUUGCUGUCACUUAUAGAUGGAUCCGCGCGGCAUUAGCUAGUUGGUAAGGUAACGGCUUACCAAGGCAACGAUGCGUAGCCGACCUGAGAGGGCGAUCGGCCACACUGGAACUGCGACACGGGCAAGACUCCUACGGGAGGAAGCAGUAGGGAAUCUUCUGCAAUGGGCGAAAGCCUGACGGAGCAGCGCCGCGUGAGUGAUGAAGGUCUUCGGAUCGUAACACUCUGUUAUUAGGGAAGAACAAAUGUGUAAGUAACUAUGCACGUCUUGACGGUACCUAAUCAGAAAGCCACGGCUAACUACGUG
rnacentral:rRNA from 1 species